AGGGAAAUAGCUGGGUCAAAUGGUUGUUGUAUUCUCAGCUUUCCAACGAAUCUCCAUAAUGCUUUCCAAAUUCGCUGCACCAAUUUGCAGUCCCACCAGUAAU
rnacentral:pre_miRNA from 1 species